UACAGAGGCCUCGAGCGUUAGGCGGAAUCACUGGGCUUAAAGCGUGUGUAGGCGGUCUUCUAAGUGCCUUGUGAAAUCCCACGGCUCACCCGUGGAACUGCUGGGCAUACUGGGAGUCUUGAGCCACCUAGGGGCGAGCGGAACAAAUGGUGGAGCGGUGAAAUGCGUAGAUAUCAUUUGGAACGCCAACGGAGAAAUCAGCUCGCUGGGGGUGUGCUGACGCUGAGACACGAAAGCCAGGGGAGCGAACGGG
rnacentral:rRNA from 1 species